GAUGAACGCUGGCGGCGUGCCUAAUACAUGCAAGUCGAGCGAACAGACGAGGAGCUUGCUCCUCUGACGUUAGCGGCGGACGGGUGAGUAACACGUGGAUAACCUACCUAUAAGACUGGGAUAACUUCGGGAAACCGGAGAUAAUACCGGAUAAUAUAUUGAACCGCAUGGUUCAAUAGUGAAAGACGGUUUUGCUGUCACGUAUAGAUGGAUCCGCGCCGCAUUAGCUAGUUGGUAAGGUAACGGCUUACCAAGGCAACGAUGCGUAGCCGACCUGAGAGGGUGAUCGGCCACACUGGAACUGAGACACGGUCCAGACUCCUACGGGAGGCAGCAGUAGGGAAUCUUCCGCAAUGGGCGAAAGCCUGACGGAGCAACGCCGCGUGAGUGAUGAAGGUCUUCGGAUCGUAAAACUCUGUUAUUAGGGAAGAACAAAUGUGUAAGUAACUAUGCACGUCUUGACGGUACCUAAUCAGAAAGCCACGGCUAACUACGUG
rnacentral:rRNA from 1 species